UUCCUGGGAGACACGAAGCAGGAAACACUGGCAAAUAUCACAGCAGUGAGUUACGACUUUGAUGAGGAAUUCUUCAGCCAGACGAGCGAGCUGGCCAAGGACUUUAUUCGGAAGCUUCUGGUUAAAGAGACCCGGAAACGGCUCACAAUCCAAGAGGCUCUCAGACACCCCUGGAUCACGGUAAGGGCACAGCCAUGAGUUCCAAUGGGCAAAGGGUCCCUGCUCUGUCGCCAGGGUUGGCCUGGGCAGCCAGAUGCAGAGGGCCCAUGGAGAGGCCUUUGCUUUAAACACUGACCCUGGGCACAGAUGAAAGCUAGCCAGGGGCCCCAGAGGGCCUGGGCUUAUUCGAAUAGGUUUAUUUGCUUGCUAUUUUAAGUUUGUGUGUCUCAAAUUCAGGUAACUUAUGAAAUGAAACCCUCACAAACCACAGUUGAAACCCUUUUUCUUUGGGGCCAACUUACACAGUGUUCUUUGUUGAAGGGUA
rnacentral:lncRNA from 1 species